AAGACUAUCCUUUCAGGGUUCAUUUCUGUAGUUUGUUACUAGAUGUUUAUAGCAGCAUUAUCAACAAUAGCCAAGUUAUGGAAAUAACCCAAACAUCCAUCGAUUGAUGAAUGGA
ensembl:snoRNA U3 Small nucleolar RNA U3